rnacentral:rRNA from 1 species
GAUCAUGGCUCAGGAUGAACGCUAGCUACAGGCUUAACACAUGCAAGUCGAGGGGCAUCAGUUUGGUUUGCUUGCAAACCAAAGCUGGCGACCGGCGCACGGGUGAGUAACACGUAUCCAACCUGCCUCAUACUCGGGGAUAGCCUUUCGAAAGAAAGAUUAAUAUCCGAUAGCAUAUAUUUCCCGCAUGGGUUUUAUAUUAAAGAAAUUCGGUAUGAGAUGGGGAUGCGUUCCAUUAGUUCGG